rnacentral:rRNA from 1 species
CUAGAAGGCAUCCCACUUGGACGCCUCCCUAGUAAUGACUCAA